rnacentral:rRNA from 1 species
UGCGUAGGCGGAAAAUUAAGUCAGUGGUGAAAUUCUGCAGCUCAACUGUAGAACUGUCAUUGAUACUGAUUUUCUUGAAUACAGUUGAGGUAGGCGGAAUAUGUAAUGUAGCGGUGAAAUGCUUAGAUAUUACAUAGAACACCGAUUGCGAAGGCAGCUUACUAAACUGUGAUUGACGCUGAGGCACGAAAGCGUGGGGAGCGAACAGGAUUAGAUACCCUGGUAGUCC